rnacentral:rRNA from 1 species
GACGAACGCUGGCGGCGUGCUUAACACAUGCAAGUCGAGCGGUAAGGCCCUUUCGGGGGUACACGAGCGGCGAACGGGUGAGUAACACGUGGGUGACCUGCCCUCAGCUCUGGGAUAAGCCUGGGAAACCCGGGGUCUAAUACCGGAUAUGACUCCAUGACGCAGUGUUGUGGGGUGGAAAGCCUUGUGCGGCUGAGGAUGGGCCCGCGGCCUAUCAGCUUGUUGGUGGGGUGAUGGCCUACCAAGGCGACGACGGGUAGCCGGCCUGAGAGGGCGACCGGCCGACACUGGGACUGAGACACGGCCCAGACUCCUACGGGAGGCAGCAGUGGGGAAUCUUGCGCAAUGGGCGAAAGCCUGACGCAGCGACGCCGCGUGAGGGAUGACGGCCUGGUGU